rnacentral:rRNA from 1 species
UACGAAGGGGGCUAGCGUUGUUCGGAAUCACUGGGCGUAAAGGGCGCGUAGGCGGCUUUGUAAGUCGGGGGGUGAAAGCCUGUGGCUCAACCACAGAAUUGCCUUCGAUACUGCAUGGCUUGAGACCGGAAGAGGUAAGUGGAACUGCGAGUGUAGAGGUGAAAUUCGUAGAUAUUCGCAAGAACACCAGUGGCGAAGGCGGCUUACUGGUCCGGUUCUGACGCUGAGGCGCGAAAGCGGUGGGGAGCAAACAGG